rnacentral:lncRNA from 12 species
UCACAAAAUCAAGGCAUUGUACCUCAUCAUUUAGAUGAUGAUGGAACCAUAUGGAACCACAUAAGUUCUUAUAACCGUGGAGUUAAAAUGUGCUGUAAGUACCCACAAAAAUGAUACUGAAGAAGCCAAACACACGCAUGCAGAGGACUAUGAUUUAAUGCCUGGAAUAAUCAGAAGAAAUACCCUGCCAUCUCCAAUCAAAUUUAGUGUGUAUAUUAUGGUGAAAUUCUGCAAGAAAAAACAAAGAAG